rnacentral:lncRNA from 1 species
UAUAUAUAUAUAUAACACUUGAGCUACUAACCCGUAUAACAGAACAAAUUGAGAAGAAGCAAAGAUCACCCAGAGCAAUGUAUAAAAAGAGAGAACCAACAACAUUACUGACUUACUUUCUCUUUAACCUCCAAUGCAACAUCUUCCAUGAUUUGUUGUGUUCACAGCCAAUCCAUGAAAUAAAAAUGUCAUAUUCGUUANNNN